ensembl:lncRNA
GCCGGGGUCGGCCCGGUGGUGCACACGUUCGGCUUCAGCGGCCCGGGGUUCGCCGGUUUGGAUCCCAGGUGCAGACAUGGCACCGCUUGGCAAGCCAUGCUGUGGUGGCCCACAUUUCCUCCCCAUCUAAAUAAAGGGAUUUACAAGGACUUCCUCGGGGAGGCUGUCAGCAUCCAGAAAAGCUGAGCUGAGGGCUUGUGACAACUGCCCCAACAUGCUGUUAUACAGGCUGUGGACAGUACACCACGUCUCCCCGGUAACAUUCAGAGGAUGGAACAAUGGCUCUGGAACUGGAUUCUGAUCUUGGACAAAGUAUACUGCUCUGGACCUCAGAAGUCAUUCUGCUUCUACAAGUCCAACCUGUCAAAGUCCUUCUCUGAGAAACCGUCCAGAAUUCCCCGGUCAGAAUCAACGUCUCCUUCCUCUUGUGGACACCCCUAACACUUUGUUUCUUCCUCCCGUGCAGCAAUUACACAGUAUGCCUUGUGGUCUAGAUGGUUCCACAGGCUUUGAAAUCAACGAACCAAGUUCAAAUACAAUAUUGACCUUUGGCAAACAAGUCAGCAUCUCGAAGCCUCAGUUUCCUUCCUUGUGGGAUAGAGCGCCCAUUUUACAGCUGGGAGAAUUCAGCGAGAUCAUGUGUAACUAGCACCUCACACAGCUCCUGUUGGAUGGGUGUUACUACUGUAUUAAGGAUCUUGUAGGGCAUGGAAAUCAAGAUUCCGCACACGUUUGCACGUGGUACAGCUGUGGAUUGAAGCCUGGGAUGGAUAUGUACCAACCGUAGAACCUGCCAUGAGCAUAGCUUCAAGAAGGCAGGGACAGUGUCUGCCUUGUUCACAGCUGCAGCUCCGGUAACUAGUUCAGAGCCUGUACAUCCUGGGAAUCAAGAAACAUGUCUGAGGAAAGGAAGGAGGAAAAGAAGGAAGAAUGGAAGGAAAGCUGAAUGGUAAUAAAGAAAAUUUAGACAAUGAACUUCUCUCAAAUGAGAGAGAAGAGUCUGAAUCUGCUCUCAGUGGAACCUAUCAUUUCUGACCUCGGAGAGGUAAUAAGAGGCUUCAAGUGCUUUGUUCUUUAAGUAACUGGCCACUGUGUACAUUGUUUGGUCAUGGGUUGUGGAAAAAUCCCCCCGAGUCAGCUCCAAGGAACAAAACGUGGUUGUUUAGACUGUUCAAACCUUCAAAACUAGUCUUCUCAAAAGGCUUGGGCCUAAAGAACACUUGUGUGACCUACAUGUUGUUUGCCAUUGUCACUGACAGAGAACAAAGGAAAGGGAAGAACCCUUUGAUUGGUCUGCAUCUCAAUAACCUGAAAUGUCUGCCCCACUGCUCAUUUUAAAAGGAGCAAGAGUAGAUCUACGUGGUGUUCCAGGUUAGGAUGGUGGAGCGAGCCGCACAGCUAAUGCUGCUCCUCCGCAACGUUCCACUAAGACCAGAAGAAAGGGAUGUUCUUUAAAGAGCAAAACCCACAGGAAAGACAAUACAAGGGCAGUGAAACUUCGGAAUCUGGAAAGCAGAUUGACAACUGGCAACACCAUAUACUUCUGUUCUGUACAGAGGGUGUGGAGAGGAGGCUAGAACAGCAAGGUGGCUAAAACAGGAAAGACUGGGUGAAAGCUGUCCCACUGGGUUAGAUCUCUACGUCUCCACUCCAUUGCACAUUGCUAUGGUUGAAUAGAUAGAGUAUUUACGUUCAAUAUGUGCAUAUCUCAGCUACAUAGUAUAGUAGUUUAUUCUCAGGAGUAGAUGGAGCAGGCCUCCGGACUGUGGGACAUCAGGCACACAUGAGGGCAGAUUAUUAUUCUCACACCAAACACAGACAGACUGCAUGACCGAAUGCUAGAUGCUGAGGACUUCUCUCUCUUCCUCGGCUUGGCUCCCAGAAUGCCAGAAGCCCUACUACUUCCCUCUAGGCAGGAGAUUAGAAGGUUAUUUUCUGCUAAACAUAACCAACCUAGGAGGAAAGAUUUUAAAAUAUUGACAUCAGGAGUUCACCAACAAACAGCCCAUCCAGAACACCUGAGAGUGUCACUCACAGUAAACAAGCCUCACAUAUAAGAAAGGAUGACCAGAUACUUGAGGGAGACCUCUGACAUGGAAGACAGAGGCCAAAACCAACAAACGGAAGAAAGGAACUUGGAGAAAAUAGAGACUAUAGAAAGAGAAGAAACCUUCAACAAAACUAUUAGUAUCCUCAGAGAAAUCAGAAGAAAUGAUUACCCUUGUGAAACUAGAAAAUGGUACUACACAAAACGGAAAUUCAAAGUAAAAAGAGAUCUUGAAAGUUAAAAAAUAGCUGAAAUGAAAAAAUUCGAUAGAAGAAUUGGAAGAUAAAGUUGAAGAAAGUUCUGAGGAAGUAGAGCAAAAAGACAAAAGAGAAGGAAGACAUAAGGAAAAUAAAAGGAGCAGAACUGAAGGGCCAACACCUGAGUAAUGGAUGUUUUUUCCAGGAAAAGAGCACAGAGGCAACAAAGUGAAAAAUCAUUAACAAAAUAAGUUAACAAAAAUUCUCAUAACUGAAGACAGGAGUUGCCAGGUAGAAGGGGCCCCCUAAGUGCCUCCCCAAGAAAAUUUGAGUAGAUCUAUGUCAAGGAACAUCAUCGUGAAAUUUCAGAACACUGGGGACCAAGAGAAGGUUCUAUAAGCUUCCAGAGGGAAAAAAAGGUUACAUACAAAGGAUCAGGAAUCAGAAUGACUUCAGAUUUCACAACUGCAGCAAGACAAGGGAGAAAGACCUUCAAAAUUCUCCAGGAAAAGUCUUCCUACUACAAUUCUAGAUUCAGCCAAACUGUCAAACACAUAUGAGGUAAGAAUAAAGACACUUUCAGAUACGCAAAGUCUCAAAAACUUAAUUCCCAUGUACUCUUUCUCAAGAGCAUAGUGAGGAUAUACUCCUACCAAAAUCUAAGAAAAAAAAUCAAGAAAGGGGAAGAGUGCUGAAGAGUUUGUUUCUGCACCCUAACCACUGUUAUCAGAGGCUCACUUGUAUGGACUGUUCAACCAAUAGAGUCGCCAGCAGGAGAUCUGGAGGAGAGGAGGCCAAAGGCAGCUCGGGGCCCUGUCAGGAUAAAGAGGCCUCUGAGGUACCAUAGCAUGCAUUCUACCACUCAUUUCUCAGGGAUUUCUCUCUCUCCCUCACUUUCUCUUCUGCCUUCUUAAUUCUCUCCUACUUUCUUACUCUUUCGCCCCCUCCUUCAAUGAGCGAUCUUUGACAUAGCCUCCAUCACCACGCUUAACCAUGAAAAGGGCAGUGAGGCCAAAAGAGGCAAGGCAGCACAACGGAUAACAGAGCAUGGCUUAUGGAGUUAGACAACACUGGGUUCAAGCUCUAGUUCUGCCAUUUAAAAGAGGGAUGACCCCAGGCAAAUUACUCACCUUUACUGUAAUACAAGAAAAAGAAAGAUCAUUG